rnacentral:rRNA from 1 species
UACGUAGGUGACAAGCGUUGUCCGGAUUUACUGGGCGUAAAGAGCGCGCAGGCGGUCGAUCAAGUCGAGUGUGAAAGCCCCCGGCUCAACUGGGGAGGGUCAUUCGAUACUGAUCGACUCGAAGGCAGGAGAGGGUAGUGGAAUUCCCGGCGUAGUGGUGAAAUGCGUAGAUAUCGGGAGGAACACCAGUGGCGAAGGCGACUACCCGGCCUGUUCUUGACGCUGAGGCACGAAAGCGUGGGGAGCAAACAGG